CGAUAUUUCAUACCACAAGAAUGUGGCGCUCCACGGUUGGUGAGCAUGCUCGGUUCGUCCGAGAAGCCUUAAAACCGUGACGACAUAUUCACCUUGAACCAAGGGUUCAAGGGUUACAGCCUGCGGCGGCAUCUCGGAGAUUCC
rnacentral:sRNA from 1 species